CCCUGUUGAAACAAGGAAAAUAAAUCUCAAGGAAAACACACAAUCUUCAAUCCCCUUCCAUUCAGUCAGAAUGUCAAGAAACCCAAAAAUAAUUCAUACACCGGACCACACAGCUGCUGCUUGACCUCACAAAAAUGUAUCUGCAUUUGUACUACAGAAAUAAAAUAGCAUUUGACAAAAAGCUUGAGCUAGUUUUCAAAGAAAAACAUCAGCAAUGAAAAAUUGCGCAAAAAACUUGGCAACAUGAUCACGACUUACAAAAUGGCUAAAGACCGGUGUCGGUCAACAGGAGAGGGAAAAGUUGCAUGGGAGUAUUACAAGGAAAUGGAAGACUUAUUUGGGAAAUCUGGAGUUGGGAGUGCACUAUCAGGCACUAUCUGCUCGACUUCUCUGUUCAACACUACCUCAUCCCAGACCAAGUCCUCAAUUGCACAGGCCACAGGCUCCCAAGAACAGCCUCUCCCAGAAAAACAACCAGGUCCCUCCACUGCUAUGCCCUCCAAAGAAAUGCACAGAAGGAGACAAACAACAUCCACAUUCUGAGAAAUUUAUGAAGUGCAUUCAGAGAGGAGAACAGCUGCUCUAGAGUCGCUAGUGCGGCCUGACUUGGAGCGCCGAAGAAGAAUUGUGUACAAUCCCAUCCACCAGCUCACAAAGCAGUCAAAUCAAAAAGCUUCUUAAGAUAAGUUUAAAUAAGUUUUUAUGGAGGGAAUUGUUGAAGGUAGAACAAGUAAAUGUGAUGUUCACAGGCAGCCACAGAUUGCAUCUCUAUGAUGUGAUGCAUCAUUGUGAAUGUGGGCUUCUGGUGGAUAUGGGUCAUCCUGUCACAGUGUCUGGGUUGUGUUCCCUGGGGUUCCACUAGAUGUCCUCCUUUCUCACGGUGUCUGUCACCUUAUCACUUCCUGUUCCCUUAUUUGGUCACCUUCCUCCUUGUUGAGUAUUGAUUGUUCCCCAACUGUCUCCUGUUCCCUCAUUAUCCUUCUGUGUAUUUAUACCCGGUCUGUCUGAGUCUGUGUUACGGAGUCCUUGUUUAAUGUUGAAAGUUGAUUCAUGUCCGUCAGUUCUUGCCUUGCCUUUUCUUCUUGUUUGUUUUCUUGUUGGAUUUGGAUAUUCUGAUUUUGACCCUGCCUGAACUGUUUACCCCUUUGGAUUACCCUUUAAUAAAUGACUUACCUGCAAUUGGUUCUCUCGCCGUGUUUCUGGUAACACUGAUCAUGACACAUCCUCCAUAACAUCUUCCUGCUGAUCCUCAUCAAUUUGGUCACUGGAUUUCAGGCAGAUGUUAUGAAGAAUGCAACAGGCUGUGACUGCAGAAGGAAUGUUCAUUCGUUUCUCAUGUGCACACAUCUGAGUCCCCUGAAUUUUUAUUUUAAUGUUCCAAAUGCAUGCUCAAUAACUACACGAGCAGAAUUCCGUUUCCUAUUGAAGCGUCUCUGGCUGACAGUCAAGUGGCCAUUGUCUCUGUAUGGCUUCAUUAGCUGAAGCGAGAGAGGAUACAGAAUCUCCAAUUAUAUGCUUGCCCUCAUGAACCAGGGAAUGUGGAUCUUCCUCAAGAAGUCACCUCCCUUUUGACAACCGAAAUGCCCUUGAAUCAUGCCAACUACCAGGGUGACCCACACUGACAUUACAGAACCGCCGCUGACUGUCACAGAAUCCUGUACAAAUAACAGAAUAGAACUGAUUCCUAUUGAUAUAGGCCACAGGAUUCUCAUAGUGCAGUUUUACUAAUGGAAUGUGGCAUCCAUCAACUGCACAGACAGUUUUAGGAAACCCAGCUGUUUCAAUUUCUAACUGUGAUAUGUGUAGGGCUUGUCCUCUGGGCCAGGAGAUGUAAUGUGACGAAUGUGUUUUCUGUUUUUUUUUUUUACAUUUAUAAAAUUUUCAUUUAUAACUUGACCAGUCAUGACAUUUUGUUUAUAAAUAAGAAGAGUUUAUUCAGUCAUGGAUUGUUUUGUUAUUUAUCUAGUUAUUUAAUCACUCAAAUGUUUACAAUCCUUGCCUUGAAUACUUAUAUUAUGCCAUUGUUUUUUAUACAUGUAUAAUAAUAGUUUAGUUUAUAACCCUUUGGUCAUGGCAUAUUUUGUUUAAUUUAUAAAAAUUGUGUUUUUUAGGUUUGUAAUUUAUUUUCAUUAUUUUCAUUUUUACUUGUGGAAAAACUUGAAACACAAUUUUAAACAAAUAUAAGGAACGGCAUUGUUUAACAUUAUUAAUAAAAAUAGAGUUUUGUUCAGCUACCAUGUUUUUGUGUUUUGCUUUGGAAUGGAGAACCAUGAAUUUUUACUGGUGAAUUUAGUCCAAAUUAAACUUUGGUUUGGUACCGAAAUUGGUACAGAAAACCAUGGAUUUUCACUGGUAUCAGUACUGAAUACUGAAAUUUUGGUACCGUGACAACACUACUGGAGGGAAUAUUUCAAUUCCUUCUACAAACGCCCUAUCUCCAAUAAAGUAAGCACACUUGUUAUUUUGUCUUGCUUUUUCCACUGCUGGCCAUAAUUUCUUCCUCCUCCCUUUAUCUGUCGGAGAUAAGUCCUCAGAUAUUUUCAGGCUGUUUUCCCUGAGAAAAGUAGACUCCUAUGCUGCACGCAACACAGGUUGAACACAAAUUGAACAAUAAUUCUUCUGGUUUUGCGACCAAUAUCAAUGGCGUUCGAAAGUUUGUCUUUGUCCUCUGGUAGGAGUCGCUGACAUAACUGGAUCACCUGUAGUCGAACAUCUCUCUCUUUCUCAGGGGCUCCGUGAAUUCUUUAUUUCCAACGUCGCAAAUAACUUUCCAGGUGUGCCUUCUCUCUUGCUCAGAGGUAGUCUGCUCCAUUUUGCCCACCUUGGACUCCACUGCACCACACUUGCUUUUCAGACAGUUAACUUCCUCACUAAUAAAUUCGAUAGCUUGGUGUUUUAAUCUAUUACGUCCUUCAUGUUUGUAAUCGCGUGUGUUUUUUCGUAUCAUUUUUGAAUCAUUAUCUCCAGGGAAUCAGACAGAGUGUUUAUUAUGAAUUCUUAGUCAUAUGUAAUACAUUUUAACUCAUAUGAAAUAUCAUAUUUAUUAUAUUUGCCCUACUGUAUUAUGACUAAGUUUUUAUAUUUGUAUAUAUUCAUGUAAGCUGCAUUUUUAUGGGUUACAAGUACACACACACACACACACACACACACACACACACACAGUGUUACUCCAAAAAAGUAAAGUAAUUAACAGAAUCAGAAGUAAUUAACAGAAAAAGUAAGAUUGUAGAGGACAAAAUGAAUUUCCAUUUAAAAAUCACAACGUCCGAUA
ensembl:lncRNA